GGCCUGUUGGCCCAAUGGCAAGGCGUCUGACUACGAUUUCCAGCAGGAAAAUGGUAUCAGGAGAUUGCAGGUUCGACCCCUGCACAGGUCA